rnacentral:rRNA from 1 species
UCGAGAAUCAUUCGCAAUGGGCGCAAGCCUGACGGUGGGACGUCGCGUGGAGGAUGAAGGUCUUCGGAUUGUAAACUCCUGUCAUGUGGGAUAAAUGGCCAGGGCAUGAGUAGUGCCUUGGAAUGAUAGUACCACAGGAGGAAGGGACGGCUAACUCUGUGCCAGCAGCCGCGGUAAUUCAGAGGUCCCGAGCGUUGUUCGGAUUUACUGGGCGUAAAGGGAGCGUAGGCGGUUUGGUGUGUCGAAUGUGAAAGCCCACAACUCAACUGUGGAAUGGCAUUCGAAACUACUGAGCUAGAGUACUGGAGAGGAGAGCGGAAUUCUUGGUGUAGCGGUGAAAUGCGUAGAUAUCAAGAGGAACACCGGUGGCGAAGGCGGCUCUCUGGACAGAUACUGACGCUGAGGCUCGAAAGUUAGGGGAGCAAACAG